CUACUUGUUCUUGCAUGCUUCACAUUUGUUCUUUCUUUGAUUUAUUCCUUUCUCUUCCGUGAAGCAUCUUCUUCUUUUUUAUUGGUUGUUUCCUGUGUAUUCCUGCAUCUCUUACUCCUUUUUUCUUGGAGUUGUUGUUUCCUCCUGAUAAUAGCUUCUCUAGCUUCUUUUGUAAGUUAGCCUGCGGAUUUUGACGUGUACUGUCCCUUCAUUUCUGCAUUGGAUAUUCUUUUAGCAAUAUAGUAUCAUAUAUUUAAAUUCUACUUUAUGUACAAUGUUCUCAAGAGAUUAACAAUAUAUGCAGUAAAUAAGAGAUUCUUGCUGCAUGUAGAAACAACCUAUAAUACUUAUCAUCAUGCUUUCAGGAUUAUUGUGUUGUGUGGUUGGAGCUGCAGUGGAUGGCAUUAUUGCUGUGACAGUGUGCUUGUUUCUCAGUGAACGACAGUUGCUCCAUGGGAAUUAGUACGGCGAAGUACUCUCUAAAAUCAUUUUUAGCACUAUACGUAAAAUUAUUAGGUUCUGCAAUAUUUCAAAGGGCAAUAUUUCAAAUAUAUAUGUUAGAAAAGUACCAAAAAAUAGUAAGCAUUACAUUAAAGAUAGAAAAAGGUCAAC
rnacentral:lncRNA from 1 species